CCAAAUCUGUAGUACAAUAACGAAAUCUACUGCAGUAACUUUUUCUGACCCAGGAACUGUCAAGAAAUUCAUAGAGUUAAACAAAUUCUUCUUGUGACUUCGGGUGCUGAGCAAGUUAAACUACACUUUCUUCAUUUCCUGCCACCCAGAUUCCCAAAGGGCUGCACCUGUGGAGUUGCCUACACAGAUUGUCUUUGAACAGAAUUGGCUUGGAGAACAGCGGCACUAUUCCAAAGCCUCUGCCUCCGGAUUCCUGAUUGUUUGACUGCAGUCUGCAUAUUCUCUGUACUUGACUACUUGAUGCUGAUCCUCUGGUGAGGUCUACUGCUGACCCAGACAAUGCAAGCUCUGGUCUUUACCCUUUGCCCAACAGCCAUUUCCCUCCUCCUCUGACAUCAGCUUUCAUCUUCCCUGCAGCCAGAGUUUACCAGGCAUGAAAAAGUGACUCACUUCUCAGAUAUGACAGGCAGAAAAGCCGCCACUUACACUGAGUGCACUUUGGGUCCUUAGAGGAAAGUAAGGGGAUUUCAAGUGAGGGGAAGCCCUUCAUGCAGCUUCGCAGCUAACUAACUUUGAUGACUGUUUAUCUUUCAUCUUCACAGUUGGUUUUUGAAACAAAUAGAUUUAAGAAAAAUAGUAAACUAGAUCCUAAAGGUUAAAAUAUCUUUCCUGUUGUAGUCUCUGCUUUCUUUUUCAUUGUCUAUUAAGUUUAAGAUAAAUUUACUGUGAAAAUAAAGUGGAUCUCUGACAAUA